UACGUAGGGUGCAAGCGUUGUCCGGAAUUAUUGGGCGUAAAGAGCUUGUAGGCGGUUUGUCGCGUCUGCUGUGAAAUUUCGGGGCUCAACCCCGAACUUGCAGUGGGUACGGGCAGACUAGAGUGUGGUAGGGGAGACUGGAAUUCCUGGUGUAGCGGUGAAAUGCGCAGAUAUCUGGAGGAACACCGGUGGCGAAGGCGACAUCCUGGACCGGUAUUGACGCUGAGGCGCGAAAGCCAGGGGAGCAAACGGG
rnacentral:rRNA from 1 species